rnacentral:rRNA from 1 species
UACGUAGGGUGCAAGCGUUUGUCCGGAAUUAUUGGGCGUAAAGAGCUCGUAGGCGGUUUGUCGCGUCUGCUGUGAAAACGCGAGGCUCAACCUCGCGCCUGCAGUGGGUACGGGCAGACUAGAGUGCGGUAGGGGAGAUUGGAAUUCCUGGUGUAGCGGUGGAAUGCGCAGAUAUCAGGAGGAACACCGAUGGCGAAGGCAGAUCUCUGGGCCGUUACUGACGCUGGAGGAGCGAAAGCGUGGGGAGCAAACAGG